rnacentral:misc_RNA from 1 species
GAUGAAGAACGUAGCGAAAUGCGAUAAGUAAUGUGAAUUGCAGAAUUCAGUGAAUCAUCGAAUCUUUGAACGCACAUUGCGCCCCUUGGUAUUCCGAGGGGCAUGCCUGUUCGAGCGUCAUUAUAACCCCUCAAGCUCAGCUUGGUGUUGGGGCCUGCUGCGCUGGCAGCCCUUAAAAUCAGUGGCGGCGCCAUCUGGCUCUAAGCGUAGUAAUUCUUCUCGCUAUGGAGUCCUGGUGGAUGCUUGCCAUCAACCCCCAAUUUUUCUAUGGUUGACCUCGGAUCAGGUAGGGAUACCCGCUGAACUUAAGCAUAUCAAUAAGCGGAGGA